GGCGCAGAGGGUUAGGCCUGCACCUGGGAAGGCAGCUCUGUGCCCCAGGCUUUCUGGAAGGACCUCCUCUCGUACUGGUUGUAUUGCUUCCACAGGAUGAAAAUUAUUUUCUCUGACUGUUGUGUGUUAUCUGAGUUCCAGUUAGGAAAACUCCAGCUGGACGGCAGAUGCCUGUACUCUUCUUAUGGAACUUGAGCUGAGAUCAGGCACUCUGGGCCUGCGGAGUCAGGAGCCCCAUCCCCUGGCCUUCCCUAAGAAGACAUUACGCUGGACUAAUCGUAAAGGAUAUUUCCAGAUGCCCAUGGCUCUACGGAGGUCUCAUCAGGAAUUGUGGACAUGAAGCCUAAGACGUCACGUUCCUUGUCUCAGGAUGGUUAGAGCCCCUGAUUGCAAACAGUGGAAUCUACUUGGACCAGUUUAAGCAGAAAAGGGAUUUACUAAAUGCUUUGAGGUCCAUCACGGAAUCGUGCAGAAUGGAAAUGAGUUUUAAGACUAUGCUUCCAGGACCAACACCUGGACCAUGCGAUGGGACUGGACAAGUGAGAAAGCCGCCUCCACCUGAUCAAAGCCUGGGCAUCUGCUGCCGGAACUGACGCCCCUUCUCAGUGAUGGAAGCUGUACGUGGACCCGCAAAGUGGACGUUGUGUGGAGAGCCUGCUCCUGGGAUGCUCGCUUCCAAACGCAGCGUCACCCGGGAGGCCUGUGUGGCACAGAGGAAGCCCUCCAAGCCUCCCGGCUGCCAGGGAGGCUGUUAGGAAACAGGAAAUCUGGAACUUCCUAAAAUACACAAAGGCUACUUUAAUCACUAUGGGCUAUGAUUACGAGAAAUGUCCACCAGGAGCCCCCAAGGAGCCUACAGUCCAACGGAGGAGAGAGACGAGCGAACUUUCCAGAACUGCCCCAGGAGGACCGAGCUAGACCCAAGAUGUUACAUCCAACCUAAGACAGCAAAUGCCAACAUGGGAAAAUGUUCACAUUUCUCCAAGGGCUUGUCUAAUUCUCCUCUCUGCGUGAAAAUGAAGGCUUUUAAAUUAAAUUUGCGGAAUUCUCCCUCAUAUGUUCAAGAAUUUCUCAGACUAUUUUAAACACAUUGUAAGCUUGCCUGUUCAACGGAGACUUUACCUCAUUGGUCAGGAGAGCUUUCAGAGCAGCUGUCUACAAAAAGCAACUGCUAAGAUUCGUUCCCCUCUUCAAGGGACUUAGGUGCCCAAAUUGUGUUUAAAGACUCUUUGCUCUAA